CCUACGGGAGGCAGCAGUGAGGAAUAUUGGUCAAUGGGCGCGAGCCUGAACCAGCCAAGUCGCGUGAGGGAGGACUGCCCUACGGGUUGUAAACCUCUUUUGCCUGGGAGCAACGUGCGUCACGUGUGGCGCCACUGAGAGUACCCGGAGAAAAAGCAUCGGCUAACUCCGUGCCAGCAGCCGCGGUAAUACGGAGGAUGCGAGCGUUAUCGGGAUUUAUGGGGUUUAAAGGGUGGUUAGGGGGGUCGUGAAGUCGUUGGGAAAAUUGGGGGGUUAAACCCCUUCCCGCCAUUGAAACUGGCGUUCUUGAGUGGAAGAGAAGUAUGCGGAAUGCGUGGUGUAGCGGUGAAAUGCAUAGAUAUCACGCAGAACCCCGAUUGCGAAGGCAGCAUGCCGGCUUCCGACUGACGCUGAAGCACGAAAGCGUGGGGAUCGAACAGGAUUAGAUACCCCGGUAGUC
rnacentral:rRNA from 1 species